CGAAUAUUUAAAACCUAAAUUAUUAGUAGUUAAGUUCUUGAAAAUUAAUAAAGAUGGCGGUAUUUUAGUCUAUUCAGAGGAAUCUGCCCUGUGAUUGAUGUCCCACGAUUCAAAUUACUUAAAAUUUUAGCUUGCAUAUCGCUGUAGAUUGAAUAUUUUUACUGAAUUAAAAUGUUCACGAGUUUUAGAGAAAGGAGAUCAAGUCAAGAUGUAGCUUAUUUUUAAGAAGAGGUGGAUUACAAUACUUUUAUUUGUGGUUGGCAGUUUGAAAUGGCUGUUAUAAAAUGGAUUUGAUAGUAAUUUUUUACUAAGAUUUGAAAGAUGAUUCUAGCUCUAAAAUA
rnacentral:rRNA from 1 species